CUUAUGAAGACUUUCUGCUUGAAGAGUUUGAUUAUCAAUUUAUUCAUCAUAAGUCUAUACUAGAUUUGUAUUCUUUUCUUGGUAUGACUUUGGUCAUUACAUUUUCAUAGAAAACUGUUCAUUUUUAUGUGUGUUUUUCAGUGUAUUUUCAUGAAUUGAUUGAUAGAAUUCUCUUAAGAUUUCAGUCUUUUGGGACCGGUCCCGUGCCCAAGUGGUUAAGGUCACACGCUCUGCUGCGGUAGCCUAGGGUUUUGGUGGUUUGGAUCCUGGGUGCGGGCAUUGCACCGCUCGUCGCGCCACAUUGAGGUGGUAUCCCACAUGCCACAACUAGAAGGACCUGCAACUAAGAUAUACAACUACAUACCGGGGGGAUUUGGGGAGAUAAAGCAGCAGAAAAAAAAAAAGAUUGGCAGCAGUUGUUAGCUCAGGUGCCAAUCUUUAAAAAAAAAAAAAAGAUUUCAGUCUUUUAUCCAUAAUUUUCUUUUUUGAUCAGCUUUUAAAUUGUGUUUUAGUAUAAAGCUGCUAAUCAUAAAAGGACAAAAUGUGUUCUAGUUGGCCCAAUCUGAAACCUAGAAUUUCAGCUUCGGAGGGUCUUCAUAUUUUAUGCUGGCAGCAAACCCUAAACAUCGGGAGUAGAGGAAUGUGCCCUUGCCAUAUUUGUGUUCUCUGGCUCUGCACAGCCCCCAGUCAGCACCAUUUGCUGACAAGAGUAUCCUUUCUCCAUUGAAUUACCUUGACACCUCUGUGGGAAGUCAACCAGCAAUGUAUGUAUGGUCUGUUUCGGACUCUGUUCACUUCUUUUUUUUUUUAAUUUUGCCAUCCCUGAUGGUGCCUUUGGUGCUUCUGUUGUAGAGGGCAUCCUAGGCUGGUAGACUGGUCUUUUUUUUUUUUUAAAUUGGCAUCUGAGCUAACAACUGUUGCCAAUCUUCUUUUUUUUUUCUUCUUCUUCCUAAAUCCCCCCAGUACAUAGUUGUAUAUUCCAGUUGUAGAUCCCUCUGGGUUUGCUAUGUGGGACCCUGCCUCAGCAUGGCCUGAUGAACGCCCAGGAUCCAAACCGGCAAAACCCUGGGCUGCCAAAGCUGAGUGCACGAACUUAACCACUCAGCCACAGGGCUGGCCCCUGUUCACUUCUGAUGGUCUGUGUUAAUCCUGUUGCUAAUACCACACUGUCUUGAUGAGUGUCUCUUCAGUAAGUCUUGAAAUCAGGUAAUACAAGUCUUCCAACUUUGUUCUUUUUAAAAAUUGUUUUGGAUAUUCUAGGUCCUUUGCUUCUUUACAGAAUGUUUUAAAAAUCAGCUUUCUUAUCUCAAAAGUCGGCUGAGAUUUUGGUUUUCAUUGCACAGACUCGGAGAAUUUGUAGUGUAGAUCAAUUUGGGGAGAAAUUACAUCUUGAUCAUGAGUCUUCCAGUUCAUGAACAUGGUGUCAGUGUCAUUCAAGCACGUGCCUGUGGAGUUCCCCAGGAGGAGUGGCCGCAGGUGGAGUCUGCACAGAGGACCCUGUACAGAGACGUGGUGAAGCUGGAGAACUACAGUUGCCUUGUCUGGAACAGGAGUCUGGGAACAAGGAAAACAGUCCUAGAAGCAGAAGAAGAGUAUGGGAUCACUCAUGGACAGUGCUGCCAUCUCAUUUGGACAGGUCACUUCCUAGAUGUGCUGAGUGUGCAAAUUCUGUCUCCUUGUCUCAUCCAGUGUUUCUCUGAAUGGAAGCAAGUAUCUGGGCCCCAGGUGUGACUUGGUAUGUGACCCUAGCCUGUACAUCAGCCCCUUUGGGCCACCACCUCCCCUUGGUUGGAAGUCCUCGGGCUGUGGGUAGAUGGAAAACAUCCCAGAAUGGGAGUGACAUGCUCUGCGUUCCAUAGUACUGGCUUUGCCAUUGAUUGUGUGACUCAUUCUGAUGUUCCAACUGUGAAGAUCAAAUUUGAAGUGAUGGAUAUGUUAUAUUAAAUGUAUUAAUAAGAGCAGAAAUUAAAUCUGUUGGGUUUAAAUGCAACCUGUAGGGUUUGCUUCCUCUAUAAGCCUGGCUGUCUCUGCAGGAGCUGAAGGUUGCUUCUUUAGGCUUGUUGUCUGGGAGCUAGAGCAGAGUGGAGAGAGUGAGGUGGAGCCACGCUGCCACUCCACUCAGCUCUUAAGCAACUUUGACCUUGAAGACAUGGAUGUGGAUGAGAACAAGGAUCCACUUGGCACCUUUGGCCACUUUUGCUUCAGUGAACUGAGUGGGGUGUCCAAGAAGAAACCCUGGUUUUAGGAAGACGUCUAAGAAUGUUCCAAUGAUCCCCGCCUCCUGAUAGUCACACCUUUGGCUUCCAUGUUGGAGAGGCCCACAGGACAAGGAACUGAGGGUUGCCUCCAGCCAACUCCAGCCCACAGCCACCAGGAAUUGAGGAUCUCAGUCCAACAGGCCUUGAGGAGCUGCAUCCUGCCAACAGCUAUAUAAGUGAGCUCAGAACUAUGUCCUUCUCCAGUUGAGCCUUCAGAUGAGACCCCUGCCCCAGCUGAUACCUUAAUUGCAGCCUUGUGAGAGACCCUGGAGCAGGGAACCCAGGUAGGCCUUGCCUGGACUCCUGACCCAG
rnacentral:lncRNA from 1 species